AUGCUGGUGUGAGGCCGAGUAGAGAAAGAGAAGGGACCACGAACCCAGGCAUGACUUGAUAGGAGGAAAAAGAAAGUUUUGCAUCUUUCUUAGAACUUUGUCUAUGUUCAUAAGGGGCUAAAAGAGAGAUAUUUUCCAGCAGUGGGCUCUGCCGGCAUGCCCCUGGCAUUGCUGUGGUGGAAGGAUUAAACACAUCUUCUGACCCCAGGGCCGAGGCCAUGCAUGCCCUAUUCUACCAUGAGGACCCUGGGAGAGCCUUCCUGUAGCCCCUCUAGGUGCUAUGAUUGGUAACCCUCUGCAGGUGAGCCCGGUGAAGCCCUGCCCACCACGCUCGGCUGUGACACCUGGAGGCCCUUGGGGUGUGGAACGACCUGGAAGGAGAAGGCUUCAGCCUCUCAGUGUGGCUGCCCAGCCACCAGUUAGGGCACAUGGGGUGUUUUUCUCUUCUGAAAAGACCAGGGUCAUCCGGCCAGGACUCCGCCAGUGAACACCAAUCUCUGAAGCAAGGCUCUGGGUGUCUCCCAUUGGAUGGACCCAGCUGGAAACCAGAAGACAACACAACUGAUUGAUGCACUUCAUACACAUCAGCCCCCAGAACACAAAGCAGAGAAGAGAGGCACUGAGAGUGAAUUUGCUCUGGAAGAGAACCGAAAAUGCUCAUGUGGCCACUAGCUUUCUAGAGUGUAAAAAUCAAACAUUGUGUGAAUCUUCAAAUGAAGAAGAAGACUGCUCUCAUGCUAAGAAGGAGGUUGGAUUAUGUGUCUUGCGACUCAGAAAACAGACAAAGCAAACAGCCUUGAAGAAAUAGAAAAUUAGGAAGACAUGAUGAUCAAUUCCCUUAUUAAAAAAUAAAGUCAGUCUUCCUUUCUCUUUUUCUCUAUGG